rnacentral:rRNA from 1 species
CCAGACUCCUACGGGAGGCAGCAGUGGGGAAUAUUGCACAAUGGGGGAAACCCUGAUGCAGCGACGCCGCGUGGGCGAAGAAGUAUUUCGGUAUGUAAAGCCCUAUCAGCAGGGAAGAAGAAAUGACGGUACCUGACUAAGAAGCCCCGGCUAACUACGUGCCAGCAGCCGCGGUAAUACGUAGGGGGCAAGCGUUAUCCGGAUUUACUGGGUGUAAAGGGAGCGUAGGCGGCGAUGCAAGUCAGAAGUGAAAGCCCGGGGCUCAACUCCGGGACUGCUUUUGAAACUGUGUUGCUAGAUUGCAGGAGAGGUAAGUGGAAUUCCUAGUGUAGCGGUGAAAUGCGUAGAUAUUAGGAAGAACACCAGUGGCGAAGGCGGCUUUCUGGACGGAAACUGACGCUGAGGCACGAAAGCGUGGGGAGCGAACAGGAUUAGAUACCCCGGUAGUG